GCCGGGUGAGGUGGCGGGUGCCUGUAGUCCCAGCUACUCGGGAGCCUGAGGCAGGAGAAUCACUUGAACCCGGGAGGUAGAGGUUGCAGUGAGCCGAGAUUGCACCAUUCCGCUCCAGCCUGGGCAACAAGAAGGAGNNNNNNNNNNUUUUUUUUUUUUUUGAGGCUCCUUCUUGUUGCCCAGGCUGGAGCGGAAUGGUGCAAUCUCGGCUCACUGCAACCUCUACCUCCCGGGUUCAAGUGAUUCUCCUGCCUCAGC
rnacentral:SRP_RNA from 1 species